UACGUAGGGGGCAAGCGUUGUCCGGAAUCAUUGGGCGUAAAGCGCGUGUAGGCGGCUCGAUAAGUCUGCUGUGAAAGUUCAGGGCUCAACCCUGAAAUGCCGGUGGAAACUGUCGAGCUAGAGUCCGGAAGAGGCGAGUGGAAUUCCUGGUGUAGCGGUGAAAUGCGCAGAUAUCAGGAGGAACACCAAUGGCGAAGGCAGCUCUCUGGUACGUGACUGACGCUGAGACGCGAAAGCGUGGGGAGCAAACAGG
rnacentral:rRNA from 1 species